CGAUCACCACAUAGACAGCUUUUCUGCCGAAUCUCUGCAUUAUCCUCUCGAAGCAGCUCUCCUUCCCUGCACGCACACAGGAAAGAAAGAAAAAGGGCUCGGUGAGGACCCAGGACUGCAGCCAAUACCCGCUCAUUAAGAGCUGGCCGCCUGCAGCCGUGCUCCCAAGGGUCCGGUAUGACUCAUCUCGUGCUUGCGCAGCCUUCUCAGGUCUAAUUCAAAGUUAUUUGAUGAACAAGGUUGUUUGAUGUACCACCUAAGUUACAAUCAUCUCAUGUACCAUGCUGUAGUGGGAACUGUUUUGCUUCCUUAGUGAUAGAAUUCCAUGAGCUGGGUGUAUCAUCACUGAGCUAUGGACUACAUUUCCCAGCUUCCCUGGCAGCUCCUUGUGGCCAUGUGACUAAACUGUGGCUGACAGAAGGUGAAGAAACAGGCUUUGUGAUGUUGACUGACUUGCUCACCAUAGGGGGAAAAUAAUGGGUAAAGGUCGGGCACCAGGCAGCUGACUUCCAGAGCCACCCUGGAUGCUGUGAAGAGUAAAGGAGCUAUGCCUUGACAACAGUGGCAAAACUGGCAGAGUAAGUGCUCCAUAAAUCCUAGCUACUGCCAGGAGUGUGCUUGGCACAUGGGCUGGAUUAGAACCGUAGCCACGAACACGAUGGAAAGUCUGUCCCAAAGAACUGAUGGGAAAGCUACCAGAGAAAGUGGAAGACAUGGAACCUGAGGCUCCUAAGCAAAACUGAGAGGAACUAGUGACAAAUGCCACCAUGUACUGAGUGCCUGCUGUAUACCAGGCACAGAGUCAUGCCUUUUGUAUGCAUUAACAAAAAACCUCUCAAUAAUCCAGGGAA